CCAAUCGCUGGACUUACGUCGGACUCCAACCAGAAAAAGAGAAACAACUCACACAAACAAAACAAAAAGGGCGAAAAAGAAAAAAGGGCGAAAAAGAAAAAAGGGCGAACACGCGAACUAAUAGGGAGACUAGAGCUCGAGCCUAAUAGUUGCCAAACACACACAAAAAAAAGAAAAAAAAGCGGGCACCCGGAGAGAUCAGCUCAUCUCCUGCCUACGUACCUCAUCUGGUAUGAGGAUCAGGGCGACGUAGUUCCCCUACGGAGGGAAAAAGGACUAGCCUAACCAGAUAAC
rnacentral:lncRNA from 1 species